rnacentral:lncRNA from 1 species
UAAGAUUUCAAAAUAUGAAAGGAUUUGCCUACAGAAGAUGGGAAGAACAAACAGCUGAACCUUUGAACAUGGAAUGAGGUCGUCUCUAGACUGCUGUUUUUUUUUUUUUUACAUUAGCAAAUCAGGGGUCUAUGCAAAUAUUUAGGAAGCAAACAUUUAAUACCUGAACGAUUUUGCAUGUGGACACCAGCCUCCUGCUUUGUUGACUUCCUGUUCUGUCAGGUGUUGACAUUGCACCUGACAAUCAGCCUCAGACACUGCCCUCACACAUUCUGCAAAUGCUGCUCAGGAGGGCCCAGCAGCGGUCCUGGAGGGAAUGCUAAGGCUAAGAAGGAUACCUUCCAAGACCCCCAACAGAUGCCUGGAACCAUGGGUAGUACCAAACCUUGUAUGUUUAUUCCUACUCUCAGAGACCCAUGGCAACGUUUAAUUCAUAAAUUAAGCACUAUAGAUAUUAUCAAUAAUAUAAUGGAGCGAUGAUGACAGAAACUGUAAUCCAAUUGCCAGUCUCCCUCUUUUUGCAACUCAGGGCCAUUCGUGAGUAAAACAAGGAUUACUGGAACCUGAGCACUGUGAUCCUGGACAGCUGACCUAAUAAUGUAGACAGUGACUGAAUAAUACCUGAGCAGGAGGUAUAUCCAGGGUGGAUACGCUGCACAAAGGGAUGAUUCCCAUCCCAUGUAGGACAGAGUGGCAUUUCAUCAUGCACCAUUUCAAACUCAGGAAUUAUUUUUUGGAAUUUUCCAAAAUUUUAGUAUUUUCGGACCAUGGUUGACUGUGGGUUAACUGCAAGCAUGGUAAGCAACACCAUGGAUAAGAGGGCUACUGUAAGAUGAAGUUUUUAUUAGUGAAGGUUAUGUUUUCAGUUAAUAUAAGUGCCUGUUUUGACUCCUCAGUCAGGCAUGAACUUUCCCUGAAGAAGUGCCACUUAGAGAAAAACUAUAGUUUUAGCGGGUUUCAAACUAUUUGAAAUAAAUGUAACACUAUUUAUUGAUGGAAGUAUGAGUAUUAUUGAAAACAACUUUGGACUUUGGAGAGUACUAUACUGACGCCACCAGCCAGGCCUCCUGAGGGCUUUCAGCCUGAGAUCAUUCUUAUAAAAUGCCUGUUAUACUUGUCCUUCAAGAUGCUUAUGUAACAGGGACAUUUCAGUGGGACUGCCCUCACCAGACCACAGGGACCAAUCAGACGAUUUUCCACUUUACUUCCAUGGCUGCGCUGUAGAUAUCUGCACUUUCCUUUCCUGGAGGUGGUUUCUGAAGGACCCUAGUUAGCAAGACAGACUCCACAUUGCUCCUUGACCCACCUGCCUGCCCUUUAGAGGAACUCAGAAGGCAGAGGCUUAAAAACCUCCUCCCCUUAGAAAGUCCCUUUAGAAACAACAAGUAAUCAACUAUUGUUUUACAAAUGUUCGAACAGCAGGAUGUUCUGCUUCUGUACCUUUUGCUUGCUUUACUAGUUCUAUCCCAUAGGGGGCCCUAGAAGCUGUUGGCCUCAAAGGUGUAUAAAAUAUGUUUGUCGGGGCUCGAGUCUGAUGCUCGGCUCGGUCCUGGCCCGAAAUAAACUCCUGUGUGGAUUUAAUAUCGGUCUCUGGUUGGUUCUCUCUCACCGAGUGUAACAGUUUCUGCAUGACAUCUGGUGUGGUGCUGCUGGUUCAGGAACUGUUUUCUCUAGUAAACUCACGGUGCCUCCAUUUAAUCUCUGACAGAAUGAGCUUUCAGAUUUCAACAUUUAGCAUCAGAGUUCUGUGAAGGGUGCUGGGGAAGUACUGGCAUCCUGCAGCUUGGUGUCUUCCCGAUGACUCCGUGACGUUAAGCAUGCUGGCCUGUGCUCACUUGCCAUUUGUGUGCAUGCUGUGACAUGUCUCCUUAGACUGUUCACUCAUGUAAAUAAAC